rnacentral:rRNA from 1 species
AUUGAACGCUGGCGGCAUGCCUUACACAUGCAAGUCGAACGGCAGCGGGCCUUCGGGUGCCGGCGAGUGGCGAACGGGUGAGUAAUGCAUCGGAACGUGCCAUUGAGUGGGGGAUAACGUAGCGAAAGUUACGCUAAUACCGCAUAUUCUGUGAGCAGGAAAGCAGGGGACCGCAAGGCCUUGCGCUCUUUGAGCGGCCGAUGUCAGAUUAGCUAGUUGGUGAGGUAAAGGCUUACCAAGGCGACGAUCUGUAGCGGGUCUAAGAGGAUGAUCCGCCACACUGGAACUGAGACACGGUCCAGACUCCUACGGGAGGCAGCAGUGGGGAAUUUUGGACAAUGGGCGCAAGCCUGAUCCAGCCAUGCCGCGUGAGUGAAGAAGGCC